AACAGGAUUAGAUACCCUGGUAGUCCACGCCAGUAAACGAUGUCGACUUGGAGGUUGUUCCCUUGAGGAGUGGCUUCCGGAGCUAACGCGUUAAGUCGACCGCCUGGGGAGUACGGCCGCAAGGUUAAAACUCAAAUGAAUUGACGGGGGCCCGCACAAGCGGUGGAGCAUGUGGUUUAAUUCGAUGCAACGCGAAGAACCUUACCUACUCUUGACAUCCACGGAAUUCGGCAGAGAUGCCUUAGUGCCUUCGGGAACCGUGAGACAGGUGCUGCAUGGCUGUCGUCAGCUCGUGUUGUGAAAUGUUGGGUUAAGUCCCGCAACGAGCGCAACCCUUAUCCUUUGUUGCCAGCGAUUCGGUCGGGAACUCAAAGGAGACUGCCGGUGAUAAACCGGAGGAAGGUGGGGAUGACGUCAAGUCAUCAUGGCCCUUACGAGUAGGGCUACACACGUGCUACAAUGGCGCAUACAAAGAGAAGCGACCUCGCGAGAGCAAGCGGACCUCAUAAAGUGCGUCGUAGUCCGGAUCGGAGUCUGCAACUCGACUCCGUGAAGUCGGAAUCGCUAGUAAUCGUGGAUCAGAAUGCCACGGUGAAUACGUUCCCGGGCCUUGUACACACCGCCCGUCACACCAUGGGAGUGGGUUGCAAAAGGAGUAGGUAGCUUAACCUUCGGGAGGGCGCUUACCACUUUGUGAUUCAUGACUGGGGUGAAGUCGUAACAAGGUAACC
rnacentral:rRNA from 1 species